CGCUGGCGGCGUGCUAACACAUGCAAGUCGAACGGAACCUUCGGGUUUAGUGGCGAACGGGUGAGUAAAGCGCAGGUAAUCUGCCGCAAAGUCGGGGACAACGUUCCGAAAGGGACGCUAAUACCGGAUGUUGUACGAGUUUCGCAUGGAGCUUGUACUAAAGAUUUAUCGCUUUGCGAGGAGCCUGCGUCCGAUUAGCUUGUUGGUGGGGUAAAAGCCUACCAAGGCGACGAUCGGUAGCCGGUCUGAGAGGAUGAACGGCCACAAUGGAACUGAGACACGGUCCAUACUCCUACGGGAGGCAGCAGUGGGGAAUAUUCCACAAUGGGGGAAACCCUGAUGGAGCGACGCCGCGUGAGUGAAGAAGGGCUUCGGCUCGUAAAGCUCUUUUCCUAAGGACGAAUGACCUUAUUGAAGGGAGAGACGGUACUUGGGGAAUAAGCCACGGCUAACUACGUGCCAGCAGCCGCGGUAAUACGUAGGUGGCAAGCGUUGUCCGGAAUUAUUGGGCGUAAAGGGAGCGCAGGCGGGAUGUCAAGUCUAAAUUAAAAGAUCGGGAGUAAUGCCCGUUAAGGUUUGGAAACUGACAUUCUUGA
rnacentral:rRNA from 1 species